AAUCGACACUAGGGGUGCCUUUUUGGCUGAGAUGGGCGUUGGUCCGAUCCCUUUGAACCUGUUAAGUUAAGACUUGCGAAGGAAAGUGGCUAUUAAGAUCG
rnacentral:ncRNA from 2 species